rnacentral:rRNA from 1 species
AUUGAACGCUGGCGGCAUGCCUUACACAUGCAAGUCGAACGGCAGCACGGGAGCAAUCCUGGUGGCGAGUGGCGAACGGGUGAGUAAUAUAUCGGAACGUGCCCAGUCUGGGGAUAACGUAGCGAAAGCUACGCUAAUACCGCAUACGAUCUAUGGAUGAAAGCGGGGGAUCGCAAGACCUCGCGCGAUUGGAGCGGCCGAUAUCAGAUUAGGUAGUUGGUGAGGUAAAGGCUCACCAAGCCGACGAUCUGUAGCUGGUCUG